AUCAAGGGCGCUUGUCUGCGCAGAAGCAGGAGGGUAAGGAAUGGAAUGCGGUUUGGAUAAAUUUACUGAAAACGCGAAUUGCAUAUUUGCUGGGUUGUUUAACGACUGUUCUAAGGCUUUACAAAGGACAAGACCAGGAGGAAAAAAACAAACAAACAAAAACAAAAAAACGCGACCUGGACAAGGCACGUGGUUUAGUGAGCCCCUUGGGGCCCCAGGGAUGUAAGUAUUCUGGCUGCGGAAUCCCAGCGCAUAGAGGCGGGGACGGGACUGGCAUGGUUACUGAGCAGCACUGCCCAGUAGAAAUAGAAAGCAAGGAGCUGGGGGAGGUGGCUCACGCCUGUAAUCCCAGCAUUUUGGGAGGUCGAGGCGGGUGGAUCACCUCAGGCCAGGAGUUCGAGACCAGCCUGGCCAACAUAGCGAAACUCCGUCUCUACUAAAAAUACAAAAAUUAGCCGGGCGUGGUGGCGGGCGCCUGUAAUCCCAGCUACCCGGGAGGCUGAGGCAGGAGAAUCGCUGGAACCCGGGAGGCGGGGUUGCAGUGAGCAGAGAUUGCACCACUGCACUCCAGCCUGGGCGACAGAGCGAGACUCCGUCUCAAUUAAAAAAAAAAAAAAAAAAAAAAAAAAAGGCCGAGCGCGGUGACUCACGCCUGUAAUCCCAGCACUUUGGGAGGCCGAGGCGGGCGGAUCACGAGGUCAGGAUAUCGAGACCAUCCUGACUAACGCGGUGAAAUCCCGUCUCUACUAAAAAUACAAAAAAUUAGCCGGGCGUGGUGGCGGACGCCUGUAGUCCCAGCUACUCCGGAGGCUGAGGCAGGAGAAUGGCGUGAACCUGGGAGGCGGAGCUUGCAGUGAGCCGAGAUCGCACCAUUGCACUCCAGCCUGGGCGACAGAGCGAGACUCCGUCUCAAAAAAAAAAAAAAAAAAAAAAAAGAAGAACAAUUUGGCCAGCGUGGCCAACAUGGUGAAACCCUGUUUCUACUAAAAACACAAAAACAUUAGCCAGGCGUGGUGGCACACGCCUAUAUAAUCCCAGCUACACGGGAGGCUGAGGCAGGAGAAUCACUUUAACCCGAGAGGAGGAGGUUGCAGUGAGCCGAAAUCGUACCACUGCACUCCAGCCUGGGUAACCCAGCGAGACUACGUCUCAAGAAAAUUACAUUACAUUACAUUAAAAUAGUUUGGGCCAGACACAGUGGCUCACAUCUGUAAUCCCAGCAGUUUGGGAGGCCGAGGUGCCUGGAUCAGCUGAGGCCAGAAGUUCGAUACCAGCCUGGCCAACAUGGCAAAACCCUGUGUCUACUAAAAAUACAAAAAUUAGCUCGGUGUGGUGGCGGGCACCUACAGGCUGGGAUUACAUCCCAGCUUCUAAGGAGGCUGAAGCAGGAGAAUCGCUUGAACCUGGCAGGCGGAGGUUGCCGUGAACUGAGAUCGCGAUACUGCACUCCAGCCUGGCUGACAAAGCGAGACUUCGUCUCAAAAAAAAAAAAAAAAAAAAAAAAAAAAAAAGCAAAUUAAACCAGGUGCUAAUUUUUAUCUUGUCAAAUAUCUGAAACGAUUUAGAGAAUGGAACACUCUCAUUGUUCGUAGGAGUGAGAAUUGGUACAAUUUCAUCAAAGAGCAACUUGGUAACAGCUAUCAAAAUGUUUAAAUGUAUUUUAUCUACUCCUUGACCUAGCAAUUCUACUUCUAGAAAUGUACCCUACAGAUAUCCUGGCAAAAAUAUGUAAAGAUCCACAUUUUUAAAUGUUGAUUGCAAUAUUGUUUGCAAAUGGUAAAAGACUGCCGGACGCGGUGGCUCAUGCCUGUAAUCCCGGCACUUUGGGAGGCCGAGGCAGGUGGAUCACCUGAGGUCAGGAGUUCUAGACCAGCCUGGCCAACGUGGUAAAACCCCGUCUCUACUAAAAAUACAAAAAUUAGCUGGGCCUGGUGGCAGGCGCCUGUAAUCCCAGCUACUAGGGGAGCCGAGGCAAGAGAAUCGCUUGAACCCGGGAUGCGGAGGUUGCAGUGAGCUGAGACCACGCCGUCGCAUUCCAGCCUGGGGGACAAGAGCGAGACUUCGUCUCAAAAAAAAAGAAUAUGGUAAAAGACUAACGACCUACGUGUCCCUCAAUAAAGAACCUGUGAAAUUAUGAAAAAUACAUUCAAUGGAAUACCAUAUAGCCAUGAAAAAAAUGAGUUAGAUCUAUAUGUUCUGACUUGUAAAGAUCUCCAAUAUAUAUUAAAUGAAAAAGGGCACAAUGCAAGAUGCGGAUGGUAUGAUUCCAGUUGUGUACACACACAGACACACACAACACAUCUGCUAAUUAAGUUUUAACAUACUGCAUGUAAGUAAUAUAUACUAUAUGUUUAUGUUCCAUGUUAUAUAUUGUUUUGUAUGUUAUAUAAUUAUACCUUAGAACUACAUAGUAUAAAAUAAAUUAUAGG
rnacentral:lncRNA from 1 species